rnacentral:lncRNA from 1 species
AUGAAACCAAAAUCACAAUUUCAAUCAAAAGUAUUGAGUAUCAUCAUCACGCAAUAUCAAGAACCCUAUUAUUAUUAAAAAUAUUGAUUACCGUAGCAAUCAAACUCAACUCAGCAUCACAACCAAAAGCCUAAACUACAACACCAUCACCAUCCUCAGCCAAACAAAAAAAUACACGGUGGUCAAUCCAUUAGCAAGAUGGGACGCUUCUUCCACAGCCUCCGGAGCCAUUUGGUUCAUAUCAAUGGCCUUAUCCUCAACCACCUCAACAGAUUCCUUCUCUUCAACCACAAGUUGUUUCUCUUCAACCAAAGGUUGCUCUUCUUCCAUCGCCUUGGGUUGUUCCUCCUCAGCAACAACAAUGGGUUACUUCUCCUCGACCUUCACUACCUCUUCCGCAACUUCAUGGUGCUGCUGGCUCUGCGCACCCUUGGAGAUUCCCC